GAUACAUUCUAUUUUUAAACCUCAUCAAUUUCAUUAAGAAUAGGAUCACAAUUAUGGUUAACACACACAUGUUCCAGAAACACUUCCACGUGCUUUACCUGUAGUAACUGUUUUAAAUUCUCAGGUGAGGAAUUUGACCACCCUCAUUUAACUAGCAAGUGGCAGAGUCAGAACUUGAGCAAAACAUUUUGGCUCUGCAGUCUGUGCUUUGAACCUUAAGGCUGUACUGACCAGGUUGCCUUAUCACACUCUUCUGCAACACCAUUUUUAGGUACUACUCAGCAUUCCAUUGCUUGGAUAAAUAAUAAUUACUUCAUAAAUCUCCUAUGAGUGGACAUCUAGCCCAUUGGUAUUUUCUCCCUACUAAGCAAUGUUAAGCUCUACCACCCUGAAAGCGCCCGAUCCCAUCCAAGCAAUGUUGAGCUGAAUCUAAUUAGAGCCCAUUUUUGUGCCAUCUGAUGAUCUCCCUAAAUUAAGGAUGUGCAUUUUUACCAUGGCUACUUAGAGGUGUUAUGUAGCACUCCCCACCCUCCUGCAUCUAGGGCAGGCCUCAAACAAGGCUGCAGCUCCAUCUUGCUCUGACAUUUCUCCACUGGCACCCACCAAGGUGUUACAUUUCCUGUCUUGAGGUUUCACAUCCUGCCCCUUAAACCACCCACAGUGCUCCACCCUUUGGGGUUCCGUAGGAAACAUCUCACACAAACACUCACUGAGCCAUGUGUCUCAGGCCAACAAACUUCUAAUCUAGCAGUGGGGGAAUACAGGGGUAACAAAUUACAUCAAUUACAAGUUGAUAUCACUAACUGAUGCUGGCUGGAAGCAUUUCUCAGCUUUCCUGGCACUGCCACUUUUAUCUCCUUUCAAUGACUCUCCAUUUCCUGACCUUACACUGUCCUUUUUCUUAGGUUGAACCACAAGGACCUGCUGACCUACAAAACCACUUGACCUACAAAAAUGGAAAUUUCACCUGGUUCCAUCUAACAAGGCUGAGAUGUUUAUUUCCCCAGUGGAGAACAUGGCAACAAUUUGUCAUGCUGGGAAGCUAUUCAAACAUCUGUUAAACCUUUCCUAUAUUGAGGGAAAUGUCCACCUUUUAAAUCCUGGUUUCCAGAGCAUUAUGCCAGAAACUCACUUUCCCUGACUUCCUUGAGACUAAAAUAAAUGAAUGUGCCCCUGUUUCCUCCAGUCAGAUGCAAGAUUUUUGAUGCAGCAGAGAACAACAGGAAGAGCUAUUCUGCCUUUGAAGAGAGGUGGGGGCUGAAAUGGGGAGAAAAAUCUAGGGUGCUUUAAAGUUCUAUUUCCUCACCAGGAUGGCUGAUUAUAUGAAAGCUUGCUAUGUAAUAAUUCUUUUAGAUUUUGUGCAUUUUUUGCAUGGGUGCUAUUCUUUCUUUCUUUCUUUCUUUUUGUCUUUUUAUAUUUUUAGAGCCGCACCAGCAGCACAUGGAGAUUCCCAGGCUAGGGGUCUAAUCGGAGCUAUAUCCUCCGGACUAUACCGUAGCUCACAGCAAUGCCGGAUCCUUAACCCACUGAGUGAGGCCAGGGAUUGAACCCACAACCUCAUGGUUCCUAGUCAGAUUCGUUUCUGCUACACCAUGAUGGGAACUCCCUGCAUGGGUGCUAUUCUUUUUUUAAAAAAAAUUUUAUUAUAGUGGAUUUACAAUGUUGUGUCAAUUUCUGCUGUACAGCAAAGUAACCCAAUUACACAUAUAUACAUAUACAUUCUUAUUUUCACAUUAUCAUCCACCAUGUUCUAUCACAAGUGAUCAGAUAUACUUCCUUGGGCUAUACAGCAGAAUCUCAUUGCUUAUCCAUUCCAAAUGCAACCCAUGUUCAUUGCAGUACUAUUCACAAUAGCCAAGAUGUGGAAACAACCGAAAUGUCCAUUGACAUGAAAAAAUUAAGAAGAUGUGGUCCAUGUAUACAAUGGAAUACUACUCAGCCAUAAAAAAGAAUGAAAUAACAGCAUUUGCAACAACAUGGUUGCAACUAGAGAUUCUCAUACUAAGUGAAAGAAGUCAGAAAGAGAAGAACAAAUAUCAUAGGAUAUCACUUUUAUGUGGAAUCUAAAAUAUGGCACAAACGAACCUAUCUACAAAGGAGAAACAGACUCACAGACACAGAGAACAGACUUGUGGUUGCCAAGGGGGAGGGGGAGGGGGAGGAAGUGGAAUGGAGUGGGGGUUUGGGGUUAAAAAAUGCAAACUGUUACAUUUAGAAUGGAUAAGCUAUGAGGUCCUGCUGUGUAGCACAGGGAACUAUAUCCAAUCACUUGUGAUAGAACAUGAUGAAAGGUAAUAUGAGAACAAGAAUGUAGGAGUUCCUGUUGUGGCACAGUGGAAAUGAAUCCAACUAGUAUCCAUAAAGAUGAGGAUCAGUGGGUCAGGGAUCUGGUGUUGCCAUGAGCUAUGGUGCAGGUCUCAGACACAGCUCGGAUCCUGAGUUGCUGUGGCUGUAGCAUAGGACUAUAGCUGUAGCUCUGAUUUGACCCCUAGCCUGGGAACUUCCAUAUGCCAAAGGUGUGGCCCUAAAAAGCAAAAAUAAUAAUAACAAUGUGUGUGUGUGUUUUAUAUAUAUAUAUGACUUGGUCAUUAUGCUACACAGCAGAAAUUAGCACAGCACUGUAAAUCAACUACACUUUAACCAAAAAAAUUUUUAAAAGACUGGUUGGGACCCCUGACACUCCAACCUGGCAUGCACAGGUAUUCACUCAGUGACCUUUUGAAAUGACAAGGCCAAAAACUGCAUCCUCAGAUUGUGCUAAAUGCCUCCAUUUUUUAACAUAUGGAGGCCUGUAGUGUAGUUACAUGUGCGUGGAACACAAGUACCAUAGCUUUUCUCAAUUACCUUUUCUCACACUCCCUGUGCCUCAGACUGUCCUGCUUUCUUUUUUCCCCAGGCCCUGGCCUCCAGGGAGGCAGAUGUGAGAUUUGUUCUCCCAUCUCCAUGGUUGGCUGCCUGGUGAAUAAAUGCUUUCUUUGCUGCAAACCCUGGUGGCUCAGAGCUUUGGCCUUCAAAACUUAGUUUGCUAACACUCUAAUCGACUAUUUUUACCUCCUCUGAAAAUCAUAAAUUUUCCUACAUUAAUCCCCACUAUUUUUCCUUCCCUCACUGCACCCCAGAAAAUACAUGUGGACACACCAUCACCACCGCAACCCAGGAUACCCAGGAAUGUGUAAAAGUUGUGACACACUCAAGUGUCACUGGAAGGUAACCUUCCCGGGCAGAGAUGUUUGUCUCGUGUUCAGUUGCUCCAUCACAGCAUCUAGAAUGGUGCCCAGCGCAUAUUAAGUACCCAGUCGAAAUCUGUAAAAUGAGCAAGUACCCUGCCCUCAAAUGCUUUUGUCUGUUUGUUCAUCCAUCAAAGAACCAGUGCUUUUGGAGAGUGACAUGCUGGUAAAGGCUCUGGGCUGCGUGUAGGGGAUGUCAACGUGCUUAAGGCACAGGUCUGCCCAUGAACAAUUCGGAAUGAACCGCUUACUCCAGAAAUAUUGCUACCAACCCUCAGAAUAUAUUUUGUCAUCUCUAUAAGCCCACCUGGAACUUCUCUUAAUGAAGAUGAGGGACAGUGCAGGUAGGAGGGGUGGUGUUUUGUUUAGUUUAGUUUAGUUUUGUUUUGUUUUAAUCAAGAAGGAAUGGGAGUUCCUGUCGUGGCGCAGUGGUUAACGAAUCCGACUAGGAACCAUGAGGUCGCAGGUUCGGUCCCUGCCCUUGCUCGGUGGGUUAACGAUCCAGCGUUGCUAUGGCUCUGGCGUAGGCCGGUGGUUACAGCUCCGAUUAGACCCCUAGCCAGGGAACCUCCAUAUGCCAAGGGAGCAGCCCUAGAAAAGUCAAAAAGACAAAAAAAAAAAAAAAGAAGGAAUGAAGGAAUGUCUUCCCUCCAUUGAUCUCAGUUUCAGGCCAGACAGGAAGGAAGUAGCAAUAAUGCAGGAUGGUGGAUGAGAUAGUCAGGAAUGUACCCAUGUGUUUGGUCUAUGCUAGUGCCUUGACUCAAUGGUUGCGAACCAACUUUGACUAUGAGUAAGGCAAUAUCAGGGGCAGGGGGUGACCAGUAAUCAGACCUUUUCACACUCGCCAGUGGCUUUUCUGCCUGCUGUAUGAUCUGGCCUCUAUAUGGUCCUCACCCCUGUAUGAUUUGGCCUUGCCUGCAUCUCUGACCACCCUCAGACCUCCUCCUCACCAACUCUAUGCCCUCCAACAUUAAGCUUGUCCCACCUGUGGUCCAUUCUUCAAUCAGUCCCUCUUCUAGAAUGUUCUCUCCACUGAUGUUGUUUUUAUUGGUUCCUUUUGUAUCAUUGAAAAUCAACUUAAAUGAGUUCCCUUGGCCACCCAAACAAAGGUAGUCCUUUCACCAUUUCUUUCCGUGUGUGGCAAUUUGGGAUGUUUUCAUAUCUGGCAUUUUUCUUGUGUUUAUCGUUCAUCCUCCAUCUUCUUCCCUUCUCCCUUAUUUCCUUCCUUCUCUCUCUCUCUUUUUGUCUACCUUCUCCACUAGAUUCUUAGCUCCAUGAAAACAAAAGCUUUUUGGAUCCAAUUCACUGGAGUCCAAGACAAUGCUUCACAUGCAACAGACACACAAUACACAUUUGCUUAAAGGAAACAUUUAUCUAGAUCUUUGAAAGCUGAGGCUGACAUCACUCCCUUCCAGGAUAGACUAUUACAUGCCAUGUGUUGAGCAAUUUUGGCAGAAUUUUCACAGUCUCAUGGAAACCACAUGUAAGGUAAAAUCUAAGCUUCCUGAGAAAAGUAUGUAUUGAUAUUAUGAUCUGGGCCAUCACUGGCUAACGGAAUGUGAAAAUAAGUGGCCCAUAUAAGGUAAUGGCUAAAAUUCAAGGUGACUAAGAAAUAAGUCAGCAUUACAUUAUUCGGAGCAUUGAAUAUAUCCUUUGUUAAUGUGAAAAUUUUUAAAGUUUGAUGUCCUUCAGACACAGCUCAGGGAACAAUCAUCAAAUAAACAUGCUCCCCUUUCUAAAUGUUCUCCCACACUCUGCUGCACUUAACCCUCAUAGCAGUCCUCGAGAAGGGCCUAUUCCUCAUCACCAUUUUGCAGAUGAAAAAACUAAGCUUAGUGAAAUCAAGCAAUUUGCUCAAAGAUACAGAGCCAAGCCUACCUUCAGAGCAAUUAGGAAUUGUUACCAGGGUUAGAAAUGAGCAACAAGGAGUUCCCAUUGUGGCUCAGUGGGUUAAGAACCCAACGUGGUGAUCAUGAGGAUAUGGGUCUGCAGCUUUGAUUUGACCCCAAGCCCAGGAACUUCCAUAUGCCACAGGUAAGGUUGUAAAAGAAAAAAAGAUAGAAAGAAAUAAAUGAGCAAGAAUAAUAAAGCAUGUGGGUUAAGAGGAAUCCUUGAGACAUUUUUUUUAAUUGCUUUUUUUUUUUUGGUUUACAGCACAACUCCAGAAAAAAAUUCUAAGCCACUCCAAGGUCAGAAGACGAUGACUCUGUUCCCAGCUCUGCAGCCAACCAGCUGUGCAGCUAUGACAGUGAAUGAGUCUUUCGAGAUUAUAGAUGAGAAAGACCACAGACGGUAUGAAAGAGUCUAUUUGGCUCAAGAUAUUUUUCAGCAAAAUGCUCAGACUCUAAAAGCUCCUGGUGCAUUCCUGGUUGCUUUUAAAACAUCAGCCUAAUCAAACCAACAGCAGCUAAGUGAGAGAGAAAAAGAGUCUGAGAUACUUACAAGAUGAUUUGGCAAUAAAUAACAGAAAAGACCUAGAAGAAUAUUAUUCUGCUGUUAAAGUUAUUCUGAGGCCAUUUUGCACAGAAUUUUUUAAACAUUAGGUAAUUUUUUAAACAUUCACAUAUAGUUAUAAAAGCAUUGGGUAGAAAGAAUUCACAUUCUAAUUGUUUCCAAAGUGUCAUGUUCAACAUUGGGUAGGACACACAAAAGAUGCCAAGAGAGCAUUUGCCUUGCCAGUGAGAUUAGUAGAACCAACACAGGAAACCAUCCAUCCAAAGAGUCAUCCCAAUCAUCACAAUAAUGAAUUAAUAACUUGAAAGUUUAUAUUUUCUGAAAGCUUCUGCUUAAGUCAGAGAGUCAUCAGAGCUUUAUUUCCAGAACAAUGGAACAGGGAACUUUGUUUUCCUUCUGGCCAGGCUAAAUGGGGCGGUUCUCAGGAUCUUAGAUUCACAGAUUAUUUUUAUGAGGGCUUAAGAAAGAGAAACAAGGAGUUCCCAUUGUGGCACAGUGGUUAACGAAUCUGAC
rnacentral:lncRNA from 1 species